rnacentral:rRNA from 1 species
CUCAACCGUAAAAUUGCAGUUGAUACUGUCAGUCUUGAGUACAGUAGAGGUGGGCGGAAUUCGUGGUGUAGCGGUGAAAUGCUUAGAUAUCACGAAGAACUCCGAUUGCGAAGGCAGCUCACUGGACUGCAACUGACACUGAUGCUCGAAAGUGUGGGUAUCAAACAGGAUUAGAUACCCUGGUAGUCCACACAGUAAACGAUGAAUACUCGCUGUUUGCGAUAUACAGUAAGCGGCCAAGCGAAAGCAUUAAGUAUUCCACCUGGGGAGUACGCCGGCAACGGUGAAACUCAAAGGAAUUGACGGGGGCCCGCACAAGCGGAGGAACAUGUGGUUUAAUUCGAUGAUACGCGAGGAACCUUACCCGGGCUUAAAUUGCAGUGGAAUGAUGUGGAAACAUGUCAGUGAGCAAUCACCGCUGUGAAGGUGCUGCAUGGUUGUCGUCAGCUCGUGCCGUGAGGUGUCGGCUUAAGUGCCAUAACGAGCGCAACCCUUAUCUUCAGUUACUAACAGGUCAUGCUGAGGACUCUGGAGAGACUGCCGUCGUAAGAUGUGAGGAAGGUGGGGAUGACGUCAAAUCAGCACGGCCCUCACGUCCGGGGCUACACACGUGUUACAAUGGGGGGUACAGAAGGCAGCUAGCGGGUGACCGUAUGCUAAUCCCAAAAUCCUCUCUCAGUUCGGAUCGAAGUCUGCAACCCGACUUCGUGAAGCUGGAUUCGCUAGUAAUCGCGCAUCAGCCACGGCGCGGUGAAUACGUUCCCGGGCCUUGUACACACCGCCCGUCAAGCCAUGGGNNNNGGNNNNNNCUGAAGUACGUAACCGCAAGGAUCGUCCUAGGGUAAAACUGGUGACUGGGGAUAAGUCGUAACAAGGUAACCA